UCUAAAAGUUCCACUCCUGCUUGGCUCCCGGGUUGCUCUCAACCCCGCAGGGCACUUCUCAAUCCCUGGUGGAAGGUGAAAAAUCGUGCCUCACAGAUUCUCUUCUCAGGAAAGACAAUCCUGAAAGCGAUUUUGUUCGGAUUUCUUAACCGCUAUUUGUCUGCUUCUGCUGUCUUCUUUUUAAGGACCUCGGGGGAUGCCAGAAGCUGAUGGACAGCAGGGACAGGGGCUGCCCAGGCGCCAAGCCCAUGACUCCAGAGGGCCUCAGGAUCGUAUCAAAGAGUUUCAAUCAUUCAGCUGCCCCCAGAGCUUUGGAAAAGUUGUGACAUAUUCAUGGCAUGCACAAA
rnacentral:lncRNA from 1 species